AAGUGUCCCCAUGUCUCUCAGUGUUCCUAGUGUCCUAGUGACAUGGGGACCCUGGGAGACAUGGGGACACAAACACUAGGGGACACUGAGAGACAUGGGAAUACU